rnacentral:sRNA from 1 species
UGUUCUCGUGGGGAUUUACUGAAACUCCACCCAAAUUACAUUUGCAUAGCAGUGAAAAACCGGUAUUUUCUAUCUUAUGACUCACCCUC